rnacentral:rRNA from 1 species
ACUAGAAAUGGUGGGUAAUACUGUAUAAUCCCUGCGGGGGAAAGAUUUAUCGCUAUUAGAUGAGCCUAUGUUAGAUUAGCUAGUUGGUAGGGUAAAGGCCUACCAAGGCAGUGAUCUAUAGCUGGUCUGAGAGGAUGAUCAGCCACACUGGAACUGAGAUACGGUCCAGACUCCUACGGGAGGCAGCAGUGGGGAAUAUUGGACAAUGGGCGCAAGCCUGAUCCAGCUAUGCCGCGUGAGUGAGGAAGGCCUUAGGGUUGUAAGACUCUUUCAGUGGGGAAGAUAAUGACGGUACCCACAGAAGAAGUCCCGGCAAACUCCGUGCCAGCAGCCGCGGUAAUACGGAGGGGGCAAGCGUUGUUCGGAAUUAUUGGGCGUAAAGGGCAUGUAGGCGGUUCGGUAAGUUAAAGGUGAAAUGCCAGGGCUUAACCCUGGAGCUGCUUUUAAUACUGCCAGACUCGAGUCCGGGAGAGGAUAGCGGAAUUCCUAGUGUAGAGGUGAAAUUCGUAGAUAUUAGGAGGAACACCAGUGGCGAAGGCGGCUAUCUGGUCCGGUACUGACGCUGGGGUGCGAAAGCGUGGGGAGCAAACAGGAUUAGAUACCCUGGUAGUCCACGCUGUAAACGAUGAGUGCUGAAUGUGGGGGCGUUUUGUCUCCGUGUUGUAGCUAACGCGUUAAACACUCCGCCUGGGGACUACGGUCGCAAGACUAAAACUCAAAGGAAUUGACGGGGACCCGCACAAGCGGUGGAGCAUGUGGUUUAAUUCGAUGCAACGCGAAGAACCUA